rnacentral:lncRNA from 10 species
GUUCCCCAUCCCAGGGCCCCGGGGCCUCCGGGACUCCCCCCGCAACCCAAUGCCGGCUGCGCCGGCGUCAUCCGCCAUUUGGUGUUUUCUCGGAGAAGAAGCUACAUGUGGAAUAUAUUAACGCAACAAAUUGUGCGUACUUGCUAGACAUUAGGCAUGAUAGCAAGUGCUAGGGUUACAAAGUAUUGCUUUUUGGGGAACCCAUGGUUGUUGGGGAGAAACCAGAAGAUCAGUCAUCACAGUGCGGCAAGAUCAGACUUGUGGUUUGUUCAGGUUCUGGGAGCCGUCACUGCAGUGAGAAUGGGGGAUCUGCAAGGCAGCCCUAAAUUCCAAGCAGGACAUGUAACUCCUCAAUGGACAAAUGGACACUGGACCCUGGUUGAAGGAACCUGUUGUUCUUAUGGUGGAGGGCAGAAACCCAAGAGGGCUGGAGCCAAUCCAUAACUCAGGCACGUGGCCACAUCUAACAGCAAGGGAGUCUGGAAAACACAGUUCAGCUGUGUGAAGGAUAUUUAUAAACAUUUAGCAAGAUCCAAAGGAAUGGACCAUAGCACAGCUGCCUGGAAUUUGAAUGUGGUAUCUGGAGCUUCAGUAGUCAUCCAGGACUGUAAGUGUGAAAGCCAUGCACUGAGAGUGGUGGAACAGAAGCCCUGUUUUCUUUAGACGCUGACUCCUGCUGUCUACCAGAUCCUCGUGGUACAAUGACUGGUGUAGACUGGCUUGUUGAAGUCACUCUCUGGAUCUGAGCAACGCUGGCUGAGCCGUGAUGAAGUAUUCCUAUCCAUCCACUAUGCUUCACAGUGGGAAUCUCUCACUGUUCAUCACCGCUGCCCUAGCAGCCGCAGGGAUUCUUCACCCAUGGUUGCUUAGGUUUAUAAGCAAGGAAGCUGAAUGAAGUCCCUUUCCUCUCUGGAUGAGCCCCUGGGUUUCUGGAAGAGUCUUAAAAUCACCCCUAAAUGGCUUCCAAGCACUGAAGCCCGAGAUGUUAGCUGGCCUGUGUGAGGCCUUGAGACAGAAUGCCACAGCCACACCCCAAGGAUGCUGAAGGGGAUUUCCCUCCUCUGUGGUUUUUCUCCUUUCUUCCCGCAGCACUCCUCCUACGUGCUAACAUCUUCUAGUCAAACAACUCUCCUUUUCAAAGGGACCAGGCACAGUUUCUGCUUAUCCCUGAGUAGCAGUGUUCAGUUUCCUGCCAGCCUGUGGAGUUUUUCAAACAAGCCAAUCACCUCCUCCUGUGGGAACUGAGAAGCACCCCACCCUCUCGAUACUACAAAGCCCCUGCUUGUUCCCUAGUGCAACUCCCAUGUGGUCCUGUGGAGCAUAUGGUAUCUUCCUCUUCUGGGCAGUGAGCAUAUGUGACUAAUAAACUAUCUAUCUCAUCUGUUCAGUGCCAGGUGUCAUUUGUUCUGCCAUCCCAUGACCUAGGGUGGGGAUUCCUUCCACACCAACAGGGUGAAUGCAAGGUGAUUAAAACAAGAAGCCUCUUCAGGAUCUAUAUCCUAGGGAAAAAAUUAAACAACAACAACAAAACAAGAAGCUUCAACUCUGACCCUGUAUUCCAGAUGUGUUACAGGGGCCUGUCUCCCCAGAGCCACUCUCCAGGUCAGAGCUUACCUCCCCUUGCUCAGGGUUAGGAGCUCUGGGCAGGAAAAGGACAUCAUGUUAAAA